CACGUAGGCGGUUUGUUAAGUCAGGGGUGAAAUCCCGGAGCUCAACUCCGGAACUGCCUUUGAUACUGGCAAGCUAGAGUCCGGAAGAGGUAAGUGGAACUCCUAGUGUAGAGGUGGAAUUCGUAGAUAUUAGGAAGAACACCAGUGGCGAAGGCGGCUUACUGGUCCGGAACUGACGCUGAGGUGCGAAAGCGUGGGGAGCAAACA
rnacentral:rRNA from 1 species